rnacentral:tRNA from 1 species
GCGUCUCCUGUAUGAAGGACAGAGCCGGUCUGGGAUGCCGGCCAGGAGACGGCUGCUCCGCUCAGCACAAGACGUCCC